UACGAAGGGGGCUAGCGUUGCUCGGAAUCACUGGGCGUAAAGCGCACGUAGGCGGCUUCUUAAGUCAGAGGUGAAAUCCUGGAGCUCAACUCCAGAACUGCCUUUGAUACUGGGGAGCUCGAGUCCGGGAGAGGUGAGUGGAACUGCGAGUGUAGAGGUGAAAUUCGUAGAUAUUCGCAAGAACACCAGUGGCGAAGGCGGCUCACUGGCCCGGUACUGACGCUGAGGUGCGAAAGCGUGGGGAGCAAACAGG
rnacentral:rRNA from 1 species